rnacentral:lncRNA from 1 species
UCAAACAUGAUAAAAAAAUAAAGUAAAGAAGAAAUAUUCAUUUGUGAUAGAUGGCAUAAGAUUAUAAGGCAACAUAAAGUUCGGCAUGUUUGUAAGACCACAAAAGACGCGCAUCAAGCACAGCAUAAAAGAAUAGACCAAAAGCAACAUUUAAUAGAUCAGGAUUACAACAAGUCAUUUACAUAGAAAGUUAUGCAUUCUGCAGAUCAAAAGCCGUUAAUAACAAUUAAAGCAUGUCAUUUAUAUCGGAAGAGACCAGUAGCGCAUAGGGCAGCGAGAUAGUACAAAAUACUGAAAGUGAAGUAUUUAUACAGAAGGCUAGUGACACUUAGAUAGCAGUCCACACAAGUUUUAAGGAUUAUAAAAGUCCACGCUAACUAAUACAUCUACCAGAGUCUUCAAUUUUCCUUCUCCAAGAAUGGUUGAAGUUCCUCAUUGCUCCAAGAGAAGUUGUGUAACACUGGCCCAGGAAGAGAUGAAAAAAAUGAUAUUCUUCGAGAAGAUAUCUCAACUCAUUAAAGAUUCAUUAAAUGAUUCAUAUGACAUCUAAAUCUAACAUGCAUUUUUACAACAAUAGAUAUCUGCAAUGACCAAAAAAGGAACUAUCAGGAAGGUGAGUUUAGUGAACUGACAUCAAGAAAUUCAUGCAUAUUUCCUUUAAACAAGUUUGGGGAGUGUGUAUACAGUAGCACUACACAACUAUGAAUUAUAAAAAACAGAGAUGACCACCAUCAUGAGCAAUUCUUGGCAAAGGGAAGACCCGUGUCUCAGGACUCAGUGAAAUAUAAUUCAUUUUUCAGCCUAAAGAUAUACACAUAAAAAAUGAUUGGAUCCUUCUAUCAAAGGUCACAAAAAAUAGCAAUCGAGCUCAAUAUGUUAUUUAGAAGAAAAAAUGGUCAACCAUCUACACAACAUUCAUGAAGCCCUCCAGUUUCAUAGGAAACCCAGGGGAGAAGAAAAGAAACUAAAACACACAUGUGUUUUAUUUCAUUUACAAUCCAUCAAAAGAUGAAUAUAGAGAACUCAUGAUCUGUGAUUAUUAACAACAAUUCAAGUUCUGAUCUAUAGAGCUGGCAAUUAACAUUAAGCACAAUGGAAUAAUCCUCUACUGGUUACUCUCAAUCUAAAAUCAACAGUUAAAUUACUAUUUAUCACCAUCAAGCCAGCAUAUGCGGUUCAUAUAUAAACUAAAUCAAGCUAGCAUACACACUUCAUCUCCAAAUAGGAUUCAUCUCCUGCGGUCUGGUUACCCAAAUCCAACCAAAGAUCCUCACAGAAGAGGAGGGGGAGGGGGUAGAGGAGGAAGAGGAGCUUACUUGCGAGUAGAAGCCAGAGCGCAGCGGCAGGGAGUAUAUGGACCAAUAACAAUAAGUGGCCAGUAAGAUGCGCACCAAGUCAUUCAUCUGGUUCAAGGUACGCUCCAGCUCCCUCUGCAAAAUCAAGUGGGAUCACAAGCAUUGUCGGAUCAAAAAGGCAACACAGUGAUGAAAGCACUAUGUAUGGCUAUCUCACCCUGAGCUCCUUGGCCAACUUGCUCUCUUUCUCCUUGGCCGCCCUAGGGAGCCUCCCCGUCGGCGGAACGGUCUUGACGCGGUCACCAUGGACCUGGCUCGGC